rnacentral:tRNA from 1 species
CGAGCCGUCGUGCAGUUGGAAAGCCCGCAGCCGUUUGGCGGAUGAUCGCCAACGGUGAUCGGAUAAAAACUAAGCGGCGUUUCUCCACUCAACGACGUUUCGGUCAAUCCCGGCGUGCGGAUCGUUGCGGCCUGU